rnacentral:rRNA from 1 species
GCUGGCGGCGUGGAUUAGGCAUGCAAGUCGAGCGAGAAAGCAGGCUUGUCCUGUGAGUAAAGACGGCGGAAGGGUGAGUAAUACGUAGACAACCUGCCCCCAAGUUGGGAAUAACCGCUGGAAACGGCGACUAAUACCCGAUGUGGACGCGGAUCUCUGGAUUCGUGUCUAAAGAUGGCCUCUACAUGUAAGCUUUCGCUUAGGGAGGGGUCUACGGCCUAUUAGCUUGUUGGUGGGGUAACGGCCCACCAAGGCUGUGAUGGGUAGCCGACCUGAGAGGGUGACCGGCCACACUGGGACUGAGACACUGCCCAGACUCCUACGGGAGGCUGCAGUCGAGAAUCAUUCGCAAUGGGCGCGAGCCUGACGAUGCGACGCCGCGUGCGGGAAGAAGGCCCUCGGGUUGUAAACCGCUGUCACCCGUUAAGAAUGGCAUGGAGGGGAAUAUCCUCUAUGUUUGACAAAGGCGGGAGAGGAAGCCACGGCUAACUUCGUGCCAGCAGCCGCGGUAAUACGAAGGUGGCGAGCGUUGUUCGGAAUCACUGGGCAUAAAGGGCCCGUAGGCGGCGAUUCAAGUUGGCUGUGAAAGACCCCGGCUCAACCGGGGGGACGCAGCCAAAACUGGAUUGCUAGA